GAGUGCUGGGGGAUCUGGGUCACACGUGUAACUUCAAAAGGAUCACUGCAUGAACUCCACCAAUAACUCAGAGGUGAAUAACUGCACUCGGACAUUCCAACACUCUCAAAAAGGAAUCGAUUAUAUCAAGCAUUAGUUACUGCAAUCAUAUUUAAAUCUGCAAGACUCCAAUAAGAUUUGGAGAAACAGAUGGAGGUGAUCCAGUUCCUCAAACCUGCUGCACUGUUAUUUGAUGGAUAGCUUUACCUCAACUCCGCUUACCCACUUUUCUUUCAUAUCUCUUAAUGCUGUCACCUAACAACAGACUCUCAAACGCAAUAUUGAAGCUUUCAAUUGGCCGACAUCCACAACCAAUUGAGUAUAGAAGUGUGAAAAACUGCUCCAUGAUUUCACUCUUAAAACUUUAAGUCCCUCCCAAAGGAAAUAGUUUGCGUUUUGUCUCUCCUUUAUCAUUUUGAAGACUGCCAGUAUAGUACAUUUCAGCCUUUAAAAUACAAAGAACUGCAAACAAAGUUUGUACAACCUGAUGUUAUUAUUUAAUCACUAAAGCUCUGGUAUAAUUAUUAUAAAAGAGGAAGUUAAAGGCUGGACAAUCUGCAAUACUAACCAGUUGACCAGUCCCAUCAAUGCACCUUCUGUUGGAAUAUUUAUUUACUGUCGGACGGUAUUGGAUGUGAAUCUAUUCCAUGGUGUCGAGGAUGGAAAUUUCCCAAUAAAGGGGCCCAAACUCCACUGAGGUCUGCUAUUCACAACAUGGUGACAAGCGUAUGGAAGUAGUCAACUGAGAGUCCGUCUCCAGGACUGCCAUAUGUGCAGCUUAGUAAGAAAGCCUGCAGCAUUGAACCCCAGUAAUCACCCCCAGUAAAAUAGGCAAUCCUGAGGCAGAUAGGUUAGCGGAAGAAUACCUCAAAAUAGAGGCUGCAGAACAUUUUUAAAGAGGCUCAAAAAUGAAUCAUUAAUAUACAGACGCCACCCACUCCAGUGAAAUGAUUACAUCUGAGGAUAUAGAUCUAGUGUUAGGAGAAUGCUCUGAUGGCUCAUCCACCUGUAGCUCAGAAGCCACCUGCUUCAAGUUCAUAGACUCCAAGCUCCCUAGGUCUGAUGUUGGAGAAGGUCAGUCAGCAAAGAAUAAAGUCCUUUAAUUAGAUCACUUGGCUGCCCGUCUCCAAGGAGCACAAUAUCUCUUUCUCUCGAACCUUGAUGGAAAUCUGGGUCAUGAUGCAGUGCCAUCCUGAUGGGGUUUCCCUUUUCUUUCCCUUUCUUCCCUUUUUCUAGGCCACAUGGCCUCUAAGGCUUCCUCCAACAAGGCCAGGAAGAUUCCGACUUGAGACAGUGAUCAACUGGUUCUGUCAAGUGUGCUGAAGGAUUUGGAGCAGUUACCUAUUUCACAACCCACCAAUACUAAAUAUUGAACAAGCUGGUGUUCAAACAUGUAAAUGUCGGGUUAUCAUUCUAAAGUUCUGCUACAGAUGUAUUAAUACUGAGAUCUACGACAUGAGAAGCCGAGAAUGGUUUUUCAUUAAAUCCACACUUAUUAUACGGAGAACUUUUUAUUUAAUUCAGCUUUGUAUCAUUCAAAUAGUGAUUUUGUUAGUUAGGCUUUUCAGUUUGUUUCAUAUCGAGACAGACAACAAGCUGAAUGAUAUUGUUAAUGAAAUAUCGAAGAGUUCGGGUCUGCUGGCCCCCUAGUGGCUCAAGAAAUUGUAACAGUGUAAUUUCAUAAAAGGCAAUGCUCUUUUCAAUUCAUUUACGUUCGAUUCAGUUCUAAAACUAUAAUGAGAUUUACUGAGUUCUGAAUGUUGGGUCUGAAUAGCAUGGCUGCAAUUUCAUCAAAAGGACCAGCCAUAUCACAAACCAUGAGAAUAAAAUUUGAGUGGUUAAUGGAUCUUAUCUGAAUGGAAACACCAUUUC